rnacentral:rRNA from 1 species
UACGUAGGUGGCGAGCGUUAUCCGGAAUGAUUGGGCGUAAAGGGUGCGCAGGCGGUCCUGCAAGUCUGGAGUGAAACGUAUGAGCUCAACUCAUGCAUGGCUCUGGAAACUGGAGGACUGGAGAGCAGGAGAGGGCGGUGGAACUCCAUGUGUAGCAGUGAAAUGCGUAGAUAUCGAGAGGAACACUCGUGGCGAAGGCGGGUUCCUGGACAUCAACUGACGCUGAGGCACGAAGGCCAGGGGAGCGAAAGGG